GAAAUGCGAUAAGUAGUGUGAAUUGCAGAAUUCAGUGAAUCUUCGAAUCUUUGAACGCACAUUGCGCCCCUUGGUAUUCCAUGGGGCAUGCCUGUUCGAGCAUCAUUUGUACCCUCAAGCUCUGCUUGGUGUUGGGUGUUUGUCCCCGUCUCCGCGCGUGGACUCGCCCCAAAGUGAUUGGCAGCCGGCGUACUGGUCCCGGAGCGCAGCACAUGUCGCGCAAACGAGUGCCUUGGUACGGCGGCGUCCAUAAGCCCCUCUCUCACGCUCUUGACCUCGGAUCAGGUAGGGAUACCCGCUGAACUUAAGC
rnacentral:misc_RNA from 1 species